ensembl:lncRNA
GAGCUUCUAAUAUCUGUGGCACAGCCACAACUGUGUUGGACAGAGGAGACCCUUUGCCCUCAUAGAGAGCCUACAACGGAACCCCAUGGAGUUUAUCAAGCCACUGAUUUAGCCCAGCAGGGCACCCACCAGGAGCCCAGUCCCAUAGGUAAUAAGGUAAAUGAGAUAUGCAGCCAUGACUCUAUUAGGAAUGCAGCUCGGGCAGGAGGCCAUCCAUGCAGCAACGUUCCUGUGGAGAUGAAAGGGGACACCUCAGCGCACCACAGCCAUGGCACACUAAACAGACAAAAACAACUGAGUCCACAUCGCCACACCCUUCACAUAACACAGCUUGUGAAGAAAACACAUUGGAGUCACUCAAUGCUUUGAGAAAGACACAGAAAACAGAACCAAAUGGCUCUAUGAAAAAGCCACUACAAAAUAGUUUUGAGGUGAGUUUAAGUUUCCUGUUAUAAAUUGAGAAGGUACUACAUAAUAACUAAUGUAUUUGUUGACCUCUGGUCAUUUUCAUUCUGCAGUUACAUAGAUACUGAUGAAGUUGUAUGUCCUACAAAUCAGUACCUUUGUGUUUUUACCAGCCACUGGAGCACUGGGAUCUGGACCAGAUUCUUCUGACUCUUCAAACAGAUAGACUAUUUUUAGGAGGCAGUGUGUCUGACGAACCAAUGGAAGUACAACCAGUUUGGUCACAGAUGGAGACAAUGUAAGGUCACAGGAUACUAUAUUGGAGAGGCUGGCUGCUUUCUGUAGGACACAGUCAUGUGGAGAUGCUGAAGAGGAAAGAGAAACUGCGCCAGAUAAAACUUCUGGUGUGCCUCAGAAAGCACCUGUCCAACAUCCUACCAAUUUCAGACAAAAUGGUGGAUGGAGAAAGUCUUUCAAAAGGAUGGCAUUUGAGUUGCAGCCAAGCCGCCAGGAAGCGCCCACCGUUUAUAUUGAUUUACGUAACCCUGAGCCUCCCACGAAAACAACCAGACCAUGGAAGUAAUUGGAAAGAGCCUGUUACUCAGAAUGUUACGCGAGGCGAACAGAAACAGGAGAGAGCCGGACAGGAAAGAUCCAGUUCCAGCAGAUUCUACAUUCAGAACCCCCAGAAGAGUGGCCUUGAAGGACAAGCUGCCUGAGGCUAACAAUGAGAUAACAUCUCUGCUCCCAGAGGUGGACAACAAAACCACAUGUCCCACAAUGAAGCGUGACCAAAACAGGCCGCCAGUUGAGAGAACACCUGGUAUUCAGCAGAGUGCUACUACCGGGCAGCCAAAGAAACAAAGUGACCGAGAGCAGAGAGAGCAAAAGAAACAGAGAGCACAGUGCCAGCAACAGCUCCAGAAACAGCUGGAAAGCUUUAGACCAACAAGGUCUGCCGGAGACAGGGAGCCUGCCGCUGAGAAGACUGAUGUUCUUUAUGACGCUGGGUCCUCUCACCUACUAACAGUUAACACUCUGCUUGCUGAUAUGGAGGAUAAGAAGUGCUUGCUGCUGACUGUAUGCCAGUCCAGGCCUGGUAGCCAGCAGCAGUCAUCAUUGGAAAGCACCAACAGUGGAGUCAGCCACAACCAAAUCCCAUAUAUACAAUGCUCUGGUUGCUUGGUUUCUGUCUUUGGUGAAUAUUUAUUUGACUAG